AUGUUGUCUUGUUUACUAUUCUUGCGUAAUUGCAAGGAUAAAUGGCGUAAUAUGAAGAAAUCAAGGACACAUACACUCGAAUCUACCUCCAUUUUCACUUCACCUUCAAAGACUUCUCGUGCGCUGUUGUUAGCAAUAAGCCUUUUCUAAGUAGUUCAUCAGAUAUGAGCAAUGAUACUAGGUAUGAUGCAAUGGUUUUUGAGGCUAUAUCAACAAUUAAUGAUGAAAAUGGUUCUAAUCUCAAGGAGAUUCUCAGCUUUGUCGAGGAACAACAUGAGGUUCCACAAAACUUUAAGAGACUGUUGAGUUAUAGCCUGAGAAUCCUUGUUUCUCAAGACAAACUCAAAAAGGUACGAAAUCGUUACAAAAUCUCAGUUACGAAAGCAAUGAAGCCAACACUCACCUUGUGUCCAAAAGAUUCCAAGAAGCCACCAGAGCUACCAAGUACUUCUGACUGGUACGAGGAGCGACAAGACUUUAGGAUGUUUUUGAGUGAGUGCCUGACAAUUCUCGUUUCUCAAGGCAAACUGGAAAAAUUAUUAGAUGGCUACAAGAUCUCAGAAAACAAAGUGAUGGAAGUAGCACCAGAAGUUGUAGCAAUGGAAACUAGCAGAGUCAGAUAACAAAAGGUUGAUAGCAGCAGAGGCAGUCGAAGAAGAAGAACGGAUGCAAAAGUUGGUUGAAGAAAGCCACACGAUGCUUCAGUUAUGCUUAGAAAUCCACCAACAAUGUGCUCUUGGGGAAGGGCUUUUUCUACGGUAAAGAGGUCUACUAGUAGAGACGAUGGUAAACCAAAGUAUAUAUCUUGAUUGGUUCAAUUUAGAGAACUGAUUUCAUUUGACUUAACUAACCAAAUUCAGCUCUGUUUUUGUAGUUCUUAUAUAAAGGGUUAUGGGGAACUAAUGUUCACCGUUUUGUUCAUAAAACAUUUGGUUAGCAUUUUUUUAAUUUUUUUUUCUAAAAAAGAAUGACGUGUCUAUUGAGUCUUGAGAAUGCUUUGCUACGUCAGAAAGCAUCAAAAGGUGCUGGAAAGAAUAAGCUUUCCAAAAGAAAAUUUGGUCUUUUUUUCUAAAAGUUUGGUACUAUUGGCGUAUGGAAAUAAAAUACUUGUGAUUGUGAUUUGAUAUUUUCUCUUGUGUGUUAAGUAUGCAAUUGCCAUUCAUAGUCUCUUUUGACAUUGGUGUAAAGAAAGUUGAUUGGUAAAAAAAUAAAAAAUAAAAAGUUGAUUGGUAACAAUAUUUUCCUACGAAAUUUAGGAAAAGUGUGAAGAGUUGAGAAAAUCUCAAAUCGAAAAGAGGAGAGCAGGGGCAAAAUUGGAAAUAUAGAAAAUA